GUUCUUAUAGCUUAAAUUAAAAAGCAUAGCACUGAAGAUGCUAGUAUAAUCAAUGAUUUGAGAACA
rnacentral:tRNA from 2 species